rnacentral:rRNA from 1 species
GGGUUGUGAGGUUAAGCGAAUAAGCGUACACGGUGGAUGCCUAGGCAAUCAGAGGCGAUGAAGGACGUGCUAAUCUGCGAUAAGCGUCGGUAAGGUGAUAUGAACCGUUAUACCCGACGAUUUCCGAAUGGGGAAACCCAAUAUCCAAUGGAUAUUAUCAUUAACUGAAUACAUAGGUUAAUGAAGCGAACCGGGAGAACUGAAACAUCUCAGUACCCCGAGGAAAAGAAAUCAACCGAGAUUCCCCUAGUAGCGGCGAGCGAACGGGGAACAGCCCAGAGUCUUAAUCAAUAGCAGCAUCAGGAGAACGGUCUGGAAAGUCCGGCAGUAAAGGGUGAUAGCCCCGUAUCCGAAGAUGCUGUUGUUGUGAACUCGACGAGUAGGGCGGGACACGUGUUAUCCUGUCUGAAUAUGGGGGGACCAUCCUCCAAGGCUAAAUACUCCUGAUUGACCGAUAGUGAACCAGUACCGUGAGGGAAAGGCGAAAAGAACCCCGGCGAGGGGAGUGAAAAAGAACCUGAAACCGUGUACGUACAAGCAGUAGGAGCCCCACCACUAAGCUAGUGGUGAACUCACAGCGAUUCUUUUGCAUGAUAAUGUGCGGUAGACGGAGCGAAUGCGACGUCCAACCAACAAAAUCAAGCAGAGGAGGCUUAGUGGUGGGGUGACUGCGUACCUUUUGUAUAAUGGGUCAGCGACUUAUAUUCUGUAGCAAGGUUAACCGUAUAGGGGAGCCGUAGGGAAACCGAGUCUUAACUGGGCGAAUGAGUUGCAGGGUAUAGACCCGAAACCCGGUGAUCUAUCCAUGGGCAGGUUGAAGGUUGGGUAACACUAACUGGAGGACCGAACCGACUAAUGUUGAAAAAUUAGCGGAUGACUUGUGGAUGGGGGUGAAAGGCCAAUCAAACCGGGAGAUAGCUGGUUCUCCCCGAAAGCUAUUUAGGUAGCGCCUCGUGAACUCAUCUUCGGGGGUAGAGCACUGUUUCGACUAGGGGGUCAUCCCGACUUACCAACUCGAUGCAAACUGCGAAUACCGAAGAAUGUUAUCACGGGAGACACACGGCGGGUGCUAACGUCCGUCGUGAAGAGGGAAACAACCCAGACCGCCAGCUAAGGUCCCAAAGUCAUGGUUAAGUGGGAAACGAAGUGGGAAGGCUCAGACAGCCAGGAUGUUGGCUUAGAAGCAGCCAUCAUUUAAAGAAAGCGUAAUAGCUCACUGGUCGAGUCGGCCCGCGCGGAAGAUGUAACGGGGCUAAACCAUGCACCGAAGCUGCGGCAGCGACACUAAGUGUUGUUGGGUAGGGGAGCGUUCUGUAAGCCUGCGAAGGUGUACUGUGAGGUAUGCUGGAGGUAUCAGAAGUGCGAAUGCUGACAUAAGUAACGAUAAUGCGGGUGAAAAACCCGCACGCCGGAAGACCAAGGGUUCCUGUCCAACGUUAAUCGGGGCAGGGUGAGUCGACCCCUAAGGCGAGGCUGAAAAGCGUAGUCGAUGGGAAACGGGUUAAUAUUCCCGUACUGGUGGUAACUGCGAUGGGGGAACGGAGAAGGCUAGGUUGUCCGGGCGACGGUCGUCCCGGUUCAAGCAUGUAGGCAGAGUGAUUAGGCAAAUCCGGUCACUUAAUGCUGAGGUGUGAUGACGAGCCACUAAGGUGGUGAAGCAAUUGAUGCCCUGCUUCCAGGAAAAGCCUCUAAGCUUCAGGUUACCAACAAUCGUACCCCAAACCGACACAGGUGGUCAGGUAGAGAAUACUCAGGCGCUUGAGAGAACUCGGGUGAAGGAACUAGGCAAAAUGGUGCCGUAACUUCGGGAGAAGGCACGCUGGCGGUAAGUGAAGUCCCUUGCGGACGGAGCCGAAGCCAGUCGAAGAUACCAGCUGGCUGCAACUGUUUAUUAAAAACACAGCACUGUGCAAACACGAAAGUGGACGUAUACGGUGUGACGCCUGCCCGGUGCUGGAAGGUUAAUUGAUGGGGUUAUCCUUAGGGAGAAGCUCUUGAUCGAAGCCCCAGUAAACGGCGGCCGUAACUAUAACGGUCCUAAGGUAGCGAAAUUCCUUGUCGGGUAAGUUCCGACCUGCACGAAUGGCGUAAUGAUGGCCAGGCUGUCUCCACCCGAGACUCAGUGAAAUUGAACUCGCUGUGAAGAUGCAGUGUACCCGCGGCAAGACGGAAAGACCCCGUGAACCUUUACUAUAGCUUGACACUGAACAUUGAGCCUUGAUGUGUAGGAUAGGUGGGAGACUAUGAAGUGUGGACGCCAGUCUGCAUGGAGUCAACCUUGAAAUACCACCCUUUAACGUUUGAUGUUCUAACCUAGGCCCAUAAUCUGGGUCGGGGACCGUGUCUGGUGGGUAGUUUGACUGGGGCGGUCUCCUCCUAAAGAGUAACGGAGGAGCACGAAGGUUGGCUAAGCAUGGUCGGACAUCAUGCGGUUAGUGCAAAGGCAUAAGCCAGCUUGACUGUGAGAGUGACGGCUCGAGCAGGUACGAAAGUAGGUCUUAGUGAUCCGGUGGUUCUGAAUGGAAGGGCCAUCGCUCAACGGAUAAAAGGUACUCCGGGGAUAACAGGCUGAUACCGCCCAAGAGUUCAUAUCGACGGCGGUGUUUGGCACCUCGAUGUCGGCUCAUCACAUCCUGGGGCUGAAGUAGGUCCCAAGGGUAUGGCUGUUCGCCAUUUAAAGUGGUACGCGAGCUGGGUUUAGAACGUCGUGAGACAGUUCGGUCCCUAUCUGCCGUGGGCGUUGGAAGAUUGAGAGGGGUUGCUCCUAGUACGAGAGGACCGGAGUGAACGCACCACUGGUGUUCGGGUUGUCAUGCCAAUGGCAUUGCCCGGUAGCUAAGUGCGGAAGAGAUAACCGCUGAAAGCAUCUAAGCGGGAAACUUGCCUCGAGAUGAGUCUUCCCUGUCACCUAGAGUGACCUAAAGGAACGUUUAAGACUAAGACGUUGAUAGGCUGGGUGUGUAAGCGUAGCGAUACGUUGAGCUAACCAGUACUAAUGAACCGUGAGGCUUAACCUGACAACACCGAAGGUGUUU